rnacentral:rRNA from 1 species
GACGAACGCUGGCGGCGUGCCUAACACAUGCAAGUCGAACGAAGCAUUUAAGUGAAUCCCUUCGGGGUGAAGCUUUUAUGACUUAGUGGCGGACGGGUGAGUAACGCGUGAGUAACCUGCCUUUCAGAGGGGGGAUAACAGUUGGAAACGACUGCUAAUACCGCAUAACGUAUUUGAAUCGCAUGAUUCGGAUACCAAAGCUGAGGCGCUGAAAGAUGGACUCGCGUCUGAUUAGAUAGUUGGUGGGGUAACGGCCUACCAAGUCGACGAUCAGUAGCCGGACUGAGAGGUUGAUCGGCCACAUUGGGACUGAGACACGGCCCAGACUCCUACGGGAGGCAGCAGUGGGGAAUAUUGCACAAUGGGCGAAAGCCUGAUGCAGCAACGCCGCGUGAGGGAAGACGGUCUUCGGAGUUGUAAACCUCUAGUCUUUGGUGAAGAAGAAAGUGACGGUAACCAAGGAGGAAGCCACGGCUAACUACGUGCCAGCA